CCUCAGUAACUCAGUUUGUGUUUGGCUGGCGAGGGGUUUGGGCACGCUACUCGGCCCCCUGACCCGCUCCUCACUGGCAUCGCAGCCACACUCGUCCAGUUGGAAGUACACAAGCACCCGUGGCCCUCACUGCUUCUUACACCUAUCUUGGUGCUAAAGGAAAUCUACCAGAAUUUAGUGUAAUGAAAAGUACUAAAGAAUAAGAAGUGUAUAUGAAAAAGUACAGUGUUUCAUAAAAAGGUCAUUGUCCCCGGUGCAGUGAGUGUUAACUUCGAGUGCAAUGGAAAGGUGUUGAUCCAGGGCUAUAUUUAACCAAGUCAUCAAUUAACCAGCUAGCCCACCACUGUUGGCGGAGGAUCUGUUGUUUCCCGACCACAACUGGUGUCUCACAAUGUGAGUGAGAUGGUGAUGCAGACGGUCUCAAGUUCAGGUAAGUUG